GCUACCCUAAAACUGGCUUUCAGGGAAGCAGGAAUGCCUGGCUUUCUCUGAGAGUCUGGCGCCAAGAUCCUUAGGCUAUGGGCCAGCUGUCUUCAUUCCUCUGCCCUCCUGCCAGGAACCACCUAUGUUCACGGCUGGAACUCACUUCUAGAGGUGCAGCCCGAGUGGACCACUGCCCGCAGCUGGCCCUAGGAAGGGUCGGAGUGGUGCCCGUGGGUGAGUGAACACUACACCAAGAUUGCACGGACCAGGCGAGUUUACAAAGGACCCACCUGUGCUUUCAGGCCCCCUGCUGGCUGCUUGAGAGACGACAGGGGCUUCCAGUCUCCUCUCAAGGAAGUCUCAGCCUAGGUUCCUACCCUCAGGAGGAGACCUCCCUAGGAUCACACUCAGAAGGACUCCUAGCCUGGAUAAGCAGCUCUGUUUCUUUCCAUUUUGGAACCUAACAGCUGAAGGGGGUCAUCUGCAUGGAUUAAGGUCACAGUCACCCCCAGGAAGGAGGUCAUCUGCAUGGAUUAAGGUCACAGUCACCCCCAGGAAGGAGGUCGUCUGAUUGGAUUAAGGUCACAGUCACCCCCAGGAAGGAGGUCAUCUGCAUGGAUUAAGGUCACAGGCACCCCCAGGAAGGAGGUCAUCUGCAUGGAUUAAGGUCACAGUCACCCCCAGGAAGGAGGUCAUCUGCAUGGAUUAAGGUCAUAGUCACAACUUCUGCCACAGAGC